rnacentral:misc_RNA from 1 species
AAAGUGCGAUAAGCAAUGCGAAUUGCAGAAUUCCGCGAAUCAUCAGAUCCUUGAACGCAACUGGCGCUAGAGGGCUCUCCUUCUAGCAUGUCUGUUUCAGUGUCUGAAAAUCUCAUACUAUCUCAAUGUAGUUGAUCUUUCCUUUUCUAAAAAGAAAAGAUCUCCUAUUAAAGAUGCGCCUGCGGGUCUUGGGACCCCUCCUCGGAUUGGUCACUGUCUUCAGUGAUUUCGAGAGGGUUUAGUUCCUUCACUCUUUCCUUUUUUUCGGAAAAGGAUACUGGCGACUCCUGUCUUUCCUAAUCGGAAGACAACACCUUAAACUCUGCAUCUGAAAUCAGACAAGAUCACCCGCUGAACUUAA